GACGAACGCUGGCGGCGUGCUUAACACAUGCAAGUCGAACGGGCUCUGUCUGCUGUGUGCUGGGUGGGGUUAGUGGCGAACGGGUGAGUAAUACGUGAGUAACCUGCCCUCUUCUUUGGGAUAAGCCUUGGAAACGGGGUCUAAUACUGGAUAUUCCUGUCUGGUCGCAUGGCGGGGUGGGGAAAGUUUUUUCGGUGGGGGAUGGGCUCGCGGCCUAUCAGCUUGUUGGUGGGGUGAUGGCCUACCAAGGCGUCGACGGGUAGCCGGCCUGAGAGGGUGACCGGCCACACUGGGACUGAGAUACGGCCCAGACUCCUACGGGAGGCAGCAGUGGGGGAUAUUGCACAAUGGGCGCAAGCCUGAUGCAGCGACGCCGCGUGGGGGAUGACGGCUUUCGGGUUGUAAACCUCUUUCGUCGGGGGACAAGGCUCUGCUUGGUGGUGGGGUUGAGGGUACCCGGUGAAGAAGCGCCGGCUAACUACGUG
rnacentral:rRNA from 1 species